rnacentral:rRNA from 1 species
GACGAACGCUGGCGGCGUGCCUAAUACAUGCCAGUUGAGCGCUGAAGGUUGGUACUUGUACCAACUGGAUGAGCAGCGAACGGGUGAGUAACGCGUGGGGAAUCUGCCUUUGAGCGGGGGACAACAUUUGGAAACGAAUGCUAAUACCGCAUAAAAACUUUAAACACAAGUUUUAAGUUUGAAAGAUGCAAUUGCAUCACUCAAAGAUGAUCCCGCGUUGUAUUAGCUAGUUGGUGAGGUAAAGGCUCACCAAGGCGAUGAUACAUAGCCGACCUGAGAGGGUGAUCGGCCAAAUUGGGACUGAGACACGGCCCAAAAGCCUACGGGAGGCAGCAGUAGGGAAUCUUCGGCAAUGGACGAAAGUCUGACCGAGCAACGCCGCGGGAGUGAAGAAGGUUUUCGGAUCGUAAAACUCUGUUGGUAGAGAAGAACGUUGGUGAGAGUGGAAAGCUCAUCAAGUGACGGUAACUACACAGAAAGGGACGGCUAACUACGUG